rnacentral:rRNA from 1 species
AACGAACGCUGGCGGCAUGCCUAACACAUGCAAGUCGAACGAGACCUUCGGGUCUAGUUGCGCACGGGUGCGUAACGCGUGGUAACCUGCCCUUAGGUUCGGAAUAACUCCCCGAAAGGGGUGCUAAUACCGGAUAAUGUCUUCGGACCAAAGAUUUAUCGCCUUUGGAUGGGCCCGUGUUGGAUUAGCUAGUUGGUAGUGUAAAAGCCUACCAAGGCGACGAUGCAUAGCUGGUCUGAGAGGAUGACCAGUCACAAUGGGAAUGAGACACGGCCCAGACUGCUAGGGGAGGCAGCAGUGGGGAGUAUUGGACAAUGGGCGAAAGCCUGAUCCAGCCAUGCCGCGUGAGUGAUGAAGGGCUUAGGGUUGUAAAGCUCUUUUACCCGAGAUGAUAAUGACAGUACCGGGAGAAUAAGCACCGGCUAACUACGUG